CUUCAGGGCACCAUGUCCACUUCAAUUUUUUCAAGUGGUCAUAUAUCGUAGAGUCUGUAUUUGCAGCUUUUUGCUUUGAAAUGCUGUACAUACACAAGUUUAACCCCUCUGUUGCUAAAGUGCAACUCCACCUCUGGAAGCAUCACUGGGUGUCAUCAGCCAGCCCAGAACUACACUUCUGUACUUGUUCAUGUCAAUUCUGU